UAUAUUUGCAAAUGAAAAACUGAACUAUAGUCUGAUUCAGUGUCUCAGGCAUACAGGCUUGUUUUUGGGUGUCUGUUUACCAGGCUACGGAAUUCUAUUAUGAGAGAAUCUAUGAGAGAAUCGAUGCUAUUUUUAGAAGACGACAGCAACGUUGGCAAAAGAUAUGUGUAGUAGUCUUUUUUUGUUUACUUUUAGUAAAAGUUUGGUAUUGAGCCUAGGAUGACAAUAUCUCAGCUUGCAAUCUAAUUUACUCAGAUAUGUAUUUUGGCAUGCUGUAUUGUCGUAUGCAAAACAACAGUAGUCUAAGUUAGAAUAAUGGGAGCAAAGGGUGAUAUUUAAAGAGGCUGUGGCCACACAAGGCUCACCAUUUCAAAGGCCAAGGCUUAGCCACAGAUAGUGUUCUUGGGGUGAUGCACUCCCAUGACUAAGGUCUGCAGAAGGGACAGGGUUUGAUUUUGUCUUCUUUUGUUUUGAAAUCUGUUGUACACAAUAUUUCAAAGAACUCUGCUGAGUAUGUUCCACUUCAGAAGUGCAUACGCCUAAAGCCCCAGGCAUGGACUUAAGAGUCUGGGGAAAUACUGAAGUCUGCUCUAACCAGAACAGAAGAGCGCUGAGGAGACAUGAGGUGUUUUAAUUAAGACUCUGAAGAAGAAAGAAAGCAUUUGGGUAUGAGCCAGGGUACCUUACGUAAGGAGAAAGAAGCUGAUUGACAUCUAGAUGUUUCAAACUGAUCUGCUGCUCUUAAUGGAGUCAGGACGUCUUGUUGCUCACAUGGAGACUUUGAAGACGACCAUUUACGUAGCUUGCUCCAUGGGAACGCUGACAGCCACUGUUACUUUCCCGUACAAAGGAGAAAAGGUCCUCUCUGGAGCAUGCUUGAAGAGGACACUUGACUCUGGAACUUGCUAUAUGUGGUCCCAAUUGUUUCCUGUUUCACGGCCAUUUUCAGCUGACCAAACAUAACUGAGGGUUAUUGUGACCAGCAGCAGUGUGACAAGGAGAAAUUUCAAAAAGAAAAUGAGACAUUUUUGAGAAGAAAAUGUGAGCUGAUGGAAACCUGAAUAAAAGGCAACCAUAAGUUUUUCCCCGGAAGAAA
rnacentral:lncRNA from 1 species